GGGUUGUGAGGUUAAGCGACUAAGCGUACACGGUGGAUGCCCUGGCAGUCAGAGGCGAUGAAGGGCGUGCUAAUCUGCGAUAAGCGCCGGUAAGGUGAUAUGAACCGUUAUAACCGGCGAUACCCGAAUGGGGAAACCCAGUGUGACUCGUCACACUAUCAUUAACUGAAUCCAUAGGUUAAUGAGGCGAACCGGGGGAACUGAAACAUCUAAGUACCCCGAGGAAAAGAAAUCAACCGAGAUUCCCCCAGUAGCGGCGAGCGAACGGGGAGGAGCCCAGAGCCUGAAUCAGCAUGUGUGUUAGUGGAAGCGUCUGGAAAGGCGCGCGAUACAGGGUGACAGCCCCGUACACAAAAGCGCAUGUGCUGUGAGCUCGAUGAGUAGGGCGGGACACGUGGUAUCCUGUCUGAAUAUGGGGGGACCAUCCUCCAAGGCUAAAUACUCCUGACUGACCGAUAGUGAACCAGUACCGUGAGGGAAAGGCGAAAAGAACCCCGGCGAGGGGAGUGAAAAAGAACCUGAAACCGUGUACGUACAAGCAGUGGGAGCCCCACCACUAAGCCAGUGGUGAACUCCACAUACGCAUCCUUUGCUGAGGAUACGGUUAACGGAGCGAAAGCGACGUUCAACCUCAAAAGAAGCAGAGGGGGCUUAGUGGUGGGGUGACUGCGUACCUUUUGUAUAAUGGGUCAGCGACUUAUAUUCUGUAGCAAGGUUAACCGAAUAGGGGAGCCGGAGGGAAACCGAGUCUUAAUUGGGCGUUAAGUUGCAGGGUAUAGACCCGAAACCCGGUGAUCUAGCCAUGGGCAGGUUGAAGGUUGGGUAACACUAACUGGAGGACCGAACCGACUAAUGUUGAAAAAUUAGCGGAUGACCUGUGGCUGGGGGUGAAAGGCCAAUCAAACCGGGAGAUAGCUGGUUCUCCCCGAAAGCUAUUUAGGUAGCGCCUCGUGAAUUCAUCUCCGGGGGUAGAGCACUGUUUCGGCUAGGGGGCCAUCCCGGCUUACCAACCCGAUGCAAACUGCGAAUACCGGAGAAUGUUAUCACGGGAGACACACGGCGGGUGCUAACGUCCGUCGUGAAGAGGGAAACAACCCAGACCGCCAGCUAAGGUCCCAAAGUCAUGGUUAAGUGGGAAACGAUGUGGGAAGGCCCAGACAGCCAGGAUGUUGGCUUAGAAGCAGCCAUCAUUUAAAGAAAGCGUAAUAGCUCACUGGUCGAGUCGGCCUGCGCGGAAGAUGUAACGGGGCUAAACCAUGCACCGAAGCUGCGGCAGCGACACUGUGUGUUGUUGGGUAGGGGAGCGUUCUGUAAGCCUGUGAAGGUGUGUCGUGAGGCAUGCUGGAGGUAUCAGAAGUGCGAAUGCUGACAUAAGUAACGAU
rnacentral:rRNA from 1 species